rnacentral:RNase_P_RNA from 1 species
AUGACAAGCCGGGCAGUCGCUUGUAAGAAAUUAUAAGAGGAAAGUCCGAACACCAUAGGGCAGCGAGCCGGAUAACGUCCGGGCGUCCGCCGAGGCGGGCGACGACAAGUGCAACAGAAAACAGAACAGCCGUUCGAUCAAGGAUCUCGGAGCCGGUUUCCGGAUUUUCGGGAUCUCCGAGCGGUGAUGUGUGAAACGACGCGGUAAGAGCGCGUCAGCGCGGCUGGUAACAGUCGCGGCUGGGUAAACUCCUCGUGGUGCAAGACCAAAUAGGAAAACGAUUCUUGAACGGCCCGUUCAAAAACCGAUCCGCGGAUCGGGGGCGUUUUCGGGUAGGUCGCUUGAGCUCUCCGGCAACGGACAGCCUAGAUGAAUGAUUGCCCAUCGCCUCCGGGCGAAGACAAAAUUCGGCUUACAGGCUUGUUUUCGAA